CAGCAUAUGGAAGUUCCCAGGCUAGGGGUCUAAUCGAAGCUGUUGCUGCCAGGCUACACCACAGCCACAGCAACGGGGAAUCCGAGCCAUGUCUGCAACCUACAACACAGCUCACGGCAACACCAGAUCCUUAAUCCACUGAGCAAGGCCAGGGAUAGAACCUGCAACCUCAUGGUUCCUAGUCGGAUUUGUUAACCACUGAGCCAUGAGGGGAAAGCCAAAAGUACAUUUUUAAAUGGAUAUUAGAACAAGAAAGGACUUUACUAAGUCAAGGGACAUUGGCUGAACAGAACUAGACUGAAUAUACCUGCUUCAUGACUUGAAAUGCAUCUUUUUCCUUAAAUGAUGUGUUCCUUAAAGGAAGAUCCAAAUCUUACCCACUGUUGAAUUCCCAGCUCUUAGUAGAUUCAAUUAACGUUUUUUAAAUUGAAUUUUGAAGUAGUAUUUUUUUCUUUUGGCUACUUUAUAACUAAAGUUUACAAAUAUUCAGAAGAGUGUAAGAUAUGUAAAAUGGGUCUCUGUAAUUCACAUGCACAUAGAGAGGGAUGGUGGGUGCUUAUUUGUCUUAUGUACCUGUUUGUAUCAAGAGGAAUACAGAAUUUUAUAACAAGUGGUUUAACAAAAUUUAUACAAUUGAAAUAGCAAGAGGUUAUUUUUGAGUUAUGUUAAUUACACUGGCUAAUUAAUUGCCUGUGAUUUAAAAACAAAACAAAACAAAACAAAGCAGGUAAUUAAAAGGGAGUUUCUGUAGUGGCUCAGUGGUUAACAAAUCUGACUAGCAUCCAUGAGGAUGCAGGUUCAAUCCCUGGCCUUGCUCAGUCGGUUAAAGAUCCAGCGUUGCCAUGAGUUGUGGUGUAGGUCGCAGACACGGCUCAGAUCCUGUGUUGCUUUGGCUAGGCCAGUAGCUACAGGUCCAAUUGAACCCCUAGCCUGGGAACUCCAUAUUGAUGCAGAGGGCGAGGGGCUCAAAAGCCAAAAAAAAAAAAGAAAAAGAAAAAGUAGUUAAAAGGAGGCAAGAACCAAGAACCAAGAGCCAAGAGCUAUUCUAUGCCUUCUACUCAUGUUUUGUCAGUAGCAAAUUGUCAAUAAGUAUUUAGACACUGACAGGCCUUUGAGAUGAUCUAAAUUACCAGGCUGAUUUCCUAAAACACCUAGAUAUUAGGAUAGUUUGUGUUUCCAGGAAUAUUUAUAUACUCUAUCCAGUUCUUUCUCAAACAUUUGUUAUUCAGCAUAUGGAUGUCAAAAUUAGGUAUAUUUGUCGAAUAUUUUUCUUGAGUAACUUGGAAAUAAGGGGAGCAGUUUUGGAGAUUUUCUUUGUACAUUAUAAAAAUAGCAUAGUUAUUGCUACUGGGCUAUGCCUUCUGACAUGCCUUUAUUAAAUACCUUCUCUUAUGUUAGUUCUAAAUUUACACAAACCUUUGCACUUUUCAGAAAGACAAUUUCCCCUGUAAAUAUAAUCCCUGUGAUUUUAAUAGUGACAGAAAGGGAAAGAAAAAUCCAUCAAGUUCACAUUAUCAAUUUGUUAGAAAGUGGCACAAAAAGUCACAUCCAGAAUAAGCUGUAUUUCAUUCAGGAUUUAGAAAGAAUGAGUGUUUGCAUCAUCAUUGCCACUACUAUCAUUUUCCAGGCUUCUAUUGGCUACACAGAACUGAAAGCAGUCUUAUUUUUUUCAGUUCUUUCUUCAAAUUCAUGACUUUGUUCAGAUAUGCUUGGAGUAAGACAUUUUUACCACUAGGACUGACUGCUUGAUCCAAACAUCUUCACUAAUUUGGAUUUCUCUGGUAUUGUGGAAUCUUCACCACCUCUUUAAAGGGAACACUCUCUAAAAGGAAAAAUACUCAAAAUUGAUUGAAUAAGGAAGUUCCUGUUGUGGCUCAGUGGUAAUGAGCCCAACUAGUAUCCAUGAGGACACAGGUUCGAUCCCUGGCCUUGCUCAGUGGGUUAAGGAUCCGGCAUUGCCAUGAGCUGUGGUGUAGGACACAGACAUGGCUGAUCUGGCAAUGCGUAGGCUGGCAACUGUAUCUCUGAUUUGAUCCCUAGCCUGGGAACUUCCAUAUGCCACACUUGCAGUCCUAUAGAGCAAAAAAGCAAAAAAAAAAAAAAAAAAAAUCAGUAAACUAACUAGAAAUACCUAGUUAACAGUUAAAGAUUAAGUUUGAAACACAGAUUCUGUAAGCAUUUCCAGAUUGGUCCAAAAUUCAGUUGACAAAGAGUUCUGUCUCGUGGGAUGGAAAAUAAUAAAGGAAGUCACUGAUCUCUAGUGAAGUUAUGACCGCACACACGCACUUCACUCUGGAUGUUAAAUCUUUGUCAAAUGUUCAUUUUCAGUUAUUUUUUUUGGUUUUUAAAGGAUGAGAUAGUGCUGGAGGAAAAGCUGUUUUCUAGUUGUGUGGCACUGUGAAAGCCACUUAAAAACUCUAGAGGUCACUUCACUAGAAAAAUCAGUGUUGAUUGCCAAUGUCAUUUUCAAUAUUAAUGUUCUAUGAUUCCACCAAACCAGAGUCAGCAUAAUAAAAAUUAUAUUCUACUAUAAUAUAGGGUUAAGAAAACACUGGAAAUACAUAAUACAUUCUCAGUAAUCUUAUGUUUAAUAAAGGGCCUUCUUUUACUUUAUUUUGAAAAUAGCAAGCCAAUAAGUAAAGGAAUAAGUGACAUUUUAAAGUUUAGCAGAAUAUGGUUGUCAGAAUUCUGUUUAAUUACAUAGUUACAGUUUAUCACAUAACAAAAAAUGUAAGGAAAU
rnacentral:lncRNA from 1 species